rnacentral:rRNA from 1 species
UACGUAGGGGGCAAGCGUUGUCCGGAAUCAUUGGGCGUAAAGCGCGUGUAGGCGGCCUUGUAAGUCCGUUCUGAAAGCCCGGGGCUCAACCCCGGGAGGCGGAUGGAUACUGCAGGGCUCGAGUACGGAAGAGGCGAGUGGAAUUCCUGGUGUAGCGGUGAAAUGCGCAGAUAUCAGGAGGAACACCGGUGGCGAAGGCGGCUUCCUGGUCUGCAACUGACGCUGUGGCGCGAAAGCUAGGGGAGCAAACGGG